rnacentral:rRNA from 1 species
GGGUUGUGAGGUUAAGCGACUAAGCGUACACGGUGGAUGCCCUGGCAGUCAGAGGCGAUGAAGGACGUGCUAAUCUGCGAUAAGCGUCGGUGAGGUGAUAUGAACCGUUAUAACCGGCGAUUUCCGAAUGGGGAAACCCAGUGUGUUUCGACACACUAUCAUUAACUGAAUCCAUAGGUUAAUGAGGCGAACCGGGGGAACUGAAACAUCUAAGUACCCCGAGGAAAAGAAAUCAACCGAGAUUCCCCCAGUAGCGGCGAGCGAACGGGGAGGAGCCCAGAGCCUGAAUCAGUGUGUGUGUUAGUGGAAGCGUCUGGAAAGGCGUGCGAUACAGGGUGACAGCCCCGUACACAAAAAUGCACAUAUUGUGAGCUCGAUGAGUAGGGCGGGACACGUGGUAUCCUGUCUGAAUAUGGGGGGACCAUCCUCCAAGGCUAAAUACUCCUGACUGACCGAUAGUGAACCAGUACCGUGAGGGAAAGGCGAAAAGAACCCCGGCGAGGGGAGUGAAAAAGAACCUGAAACCGUGUACGUACAAGCAGUGGGAGCCUCUUAAUGGGGUGACUGCGUACCUUUUGUAUAAUGGGUCAGCGACUUAUAUUCUGUAGCAAGGUUAACCGAAUAGGGGAGCCGAAGGGAAACCGAGUCUUAACUGGGCGUUAAGUUGCAGGGUAUAGACCCGAAACCCGGUGAUCUAGCCAUGGGCAGGUUGAAGGUUGGGUAACACUAACUGGAGGACCGAACCGACUAAUGUUGAAAAAUUAGCGGAUGACUUGUGGCUGGGGGUGAAAGGCCAAUCAAACCGGGAGAUAGCUGGUUCUCCCCGAAAGCUAUUUAGGUAGCGCCUCGUGAAUUCAUCUCCGGGGGUAGAGCACUGUUUCGGCAAGGGGGUCAUCCCGACUUACCAACCCGAUGCAAACUGCGAAUACCGGAGAAUGUUAUCACGGGAGACACACGGCGGGUGCUAACGUCCGUCGUGAAGAGGGAAACAACCCAGACCGCCAGCUAAGGUCCCAAAGUCAUGGUUAAGUGGGAAACGAUGUGGGAAGGCCCAGACAGCCAGGAUGUUGGCUUAGAAGCAGCCAUCAUUUAAAGAAAGCGUAAUAGCUCACUGGUCGAGUCGGCCUGCGCGGAAGAUGUAACGGGGCUAAACCAUGCACCGAAGCUGCGGCAGCGACACUAUGUGUUGUUGGGUAGGGGAGCGUUCUGUAAGCCUGUGAAGGUGGCCUGUGAGGGUUGCUGGAGGUAUCAGAAGUGCGAAUGCUGACAUAAGUAACGAUAAAGCGGGUGAAAAGCCCGCUCGCCGGAAGACCAAGGGUUCCUGUCCAACGUUAAUCGGGGCAGGGUGAGUCGACCCCUAAGGCGAGGCCGAAAGGCGUAGUCGAUGGGAAACAGGUUAAUAUUCCUGUACUUGGUGUUACUGCGAAGGGGGGACGGAGAAGGCUAUGUUGGCCGGGCGACGGUUGUCCCGGUUUAAGCGUGUAGGCUGGUUUUCCAGGCAAAUCCGGAAAACCAAGGCUGAGGCGUGAUGACGAGGCACUACGGUGCCGAAGUGACAAAUGCCCUGCUUCCAGGAAAAGCCUCUAAGCAUCAGGUAACAUCAAAUCGUACCCCAAACCGACACAGGUGGUCAGGUAGAGAAUACCAAGGCGCUUGAGAGAACUCGGGUGAAGGAACUAGGCAAAAUGGUGCCGUAACUUCGGGAGAAGGCACGCUGAUAUGUAGGUGAAGCGACUUGCUCGUGGAGCUGAAAUCAGUCGAAGAUACCAGCUGGCUGCAACUGUUUAUUAAAAACACAGCACUGUGCAAACACGAAAGUGGACGUAUACGGUGUGACGCCUGCCCGGUGCCGGAAGGUUAAUUGAUGGGGUUAGCGGUAACGCGAAGCUCUUGAUCGAAGCCCCGGUAAACGGCGGCCGUAACUAUAACGGUCCUAAGGUAGCGAAAUUCCUUGUCGGGUAAGUUCCGACCUGCACGAAUGGCGUAAUGAUGGCCAGGCUGUCUCCACCCGAGACUCAGUGAAAUUGAACUCGCUGUGAAGAUGCAGUGUACCCGCGGCAAGACGGAAAGACCCCGUGAACCUUUACUAUAGCUUGACACUGAACAUUGAGCCUUGAUGUGUAGGAUAGGUGGGAGGCUUUGAAGUGUGGACGCCAGUCUGCAUGGAGCCGACCUUGAAAUACCACCCUUUAAUGUUUGAUGUUCUAACGUUGGCCCGUAAUCCGGGUUGCGGACAGUGUCUGGUGGGUAGUUUGACUGGGGCGGUCUCCUCCUAAAGAGUAACGGAGGAGCACGAAGGUUGGCUAAUCCUGGUCGGACAUCAGGAGGUUAGUGCAAUGGCAUAAGCCAGCUUGACUGCGAGCGUGACGGCGCGAGCAGGUGCGAAAGCAGGUCAUAGUGAUCCGGUGGUUCUGAAUGGAAGGGCCAUCGCUCAACGGAUAAAAGGUACUCCGGGGAUAACAGGCUGAUACCGCCCAAGAGUUCAUAUCGACGGCGGUGUUUGGCACCUCGAUGUCGGCUCAUCACAUCCUGGGGCUGAAGUAGGUCCCAAGGGUAUGGCUGUUCGCCAUUUAAAGUGGUACGCGAGCUGGGUUUAGAACGUCGUGAGACAGUUCGGUCCCUAUCUGCCGUGGGCGCUGGAGAACUGAGGGGGGCUGCUCCUAGUACGAGAGGACCGGAGUGGACGCAUCACUGGUGUUCGGGUUGUCAUGCCAAUGGCACUGCCCGGUAGCUAAAUGCGGAAGAGAUAAGUGCUGAAAGCAUCUAAGCACGAAACUUGCCCCGAGAUGAGUUCUCCCUGACUCCUUGAGGGUCCUGAAGGAACGUUGAAGACGACGACGUUGAUAGGCCGGGUGUGUAAGCGCAGCGAUGCGUUGAGCUAACCGGUACUAAUGAACCGUGAGGCUUAACCUUACAACGCCGAAG